UGGGGAAUAUUGCACAAUGGACGAAAGCCUGAUGCAGCAACGCCGCGUGAGUGAUGAAGGUCUUCGGAUUGUAAAGCUCUGUCUUUUGGGACGAUAAUGACGGUACCAAAGGAGGAAGCCACGGCUAACUACGUGCCAGCAGCCGCGGUAAUACGUAGGUGGCGAGCGUUGUCCGGAUUUACUGGGCGUAAAGGGUGCGUAGGCGGAUGUUUAAGUGAGAUGUGAAAUACCCGGGCUUAACUUGGGUGCUGCAUUUCAAACUGGAUAUCUAGAGUGCAGGAGAGGAGAAUGGAAUUCCUAGUGUAGCGGUGAAAUGCGUAGAGAUUAGGAAGAACACCAGUGGCGAAGGCGAUUCUCUGGACUGUAACUGACGCUGAGGCACGAAAGCGUGGGUAGCAAACAGGAUUAGAUACCCUGGUAGUCCACGCCGUAAACGAUGAGUACUAGGUGUAGGAGGUAUCGACCCCUUCUGUGCCGCAGUAAACACAUUAAGUACUCCGCCUGGGAAGUACGAUCGCAAGAUUAAAAC
rnacentral:rRNA from 1 species